GGAUGUGAGGGCGAUCUGGCUGCGACAUCUGUCACCCCAUUGAUCGCCAGGGUUGAUUCGGCUGAUCUGGCUGGCUAGAUGGGUGUCCUCUUCUUCCCUCACUGCUCCAUGUGCGUCCCUCCCAAAGCUGCAUGCUCGGCUGAAGAGUACGGCCUUCUGUCGAAGGUUUAUGAGUAGCUGCGCUCCACUGCUAGAACCUCCAAACAAGCUCUCAGGACAGUCAGUAACAGCAUCAUGUCUGGAAUUAAGUAGAGGGGUGCUAAUUCUCUUAAGAUGUUAGUUGAG
rnacentral:snRNA from 1 species